GUUCUGGGGUCGCCCCCACGGCGGCGCGGCGGAGCUCAGCCUCGAUCUCGCGAAACCGAGCGAGACUACGGAAGGCCGAAGGAUUGGGCUCAGCAUUGCUUGGGCUAAAGGCUGACUAGGGCUUCCAGGAAGUGAUGUAUGUGAGAAGUUUGCUUUUUAAAGUGUACGUGGGAUCGUUAUUACGUCGAAAUAGCUCGAGCUGUAACCUAGGGCUUGAGUGCAGUGGCACGAUCUUGGCUCACUGCAACCUCCACCUCCCGAGUUCAAGCGAUUCUCCUGCCUCACCCUCCUGAGUAGCUGGGACUACAGGCCUGCGCCACCACACCUGGCUAACUUCUGAAUAUCAAGCUGAAAUUACUAUCAGAUAUCUUGCCACCACAUAGAGGCUUUGAGUGAAGUCUGCAUGGAGGAGAACAGAGCUGAGAGAUGGAAAGAUACUGAAUCCCAGUGACGUCCUUUGAGAUGUCGGAUCAAGCUGAGCUGGGCAUGAAGAUAGAGCUACUCCUAUACUUUUAAGAUACGACAUCAAAACUUCACGAUUCCCACUCUUGCAUCAUUUACCACCUAACUGCUGGAAGUAUCAGCCUACUCAUCGUUAUUGGCAUCACCUGGAAGCUAGCUAGAACUGGAGACUCUUAUGUCUUACCCCAGACCUACUCAAUCAGAAAUCUUCUUUUUAACAAGGUCUCCAGGUGCUUUGCACAUUAAAGCUUGCACACCCAAGGCCAUGUGCAACUUAUAUUCAUCUUGCUGUUGCAGGCUUAGCUUCUGACAGGUAAAGCUGAACUGGUGUCACCCAUUCCAUGUUCCUGCCUCUGUGUCUUUGAGCCUUCCUGCCUCCCAGAAUGUACUCUCCCUGAUAUAGUUUGCCUCUGUGUCUCCACCCAAGUCUCCACUCAAAUUGUAGUCCUCAUGAGUGGAGGGAGGGACCUAAUGGGAGGUGAUUGGAUUAUGAAGGCACUUUCCCCCAUGCUGUUCUCGUGGUAGUGAGAGUUUUCACGAGAUCUCAUGGUUUUAAAAGUGGCUGUUUCCCCUGCAUGCUCGCUCUCUCUCCUACCACCGGACAAAGUGCCUGCUUCCCAUUUCACCUUCCACCAUGAUUCUAAGUCUCCUGAGGCCUCCCCAGCCAUGCAGAACUGUGAGUCAAUUGAAUCUGUUUUGUUUAUAAAUUACCCAGUCUCGGGUAGUAUCUUCGUAGCAGUGUGAAAAUGGACUAAUACACUCUCCUCAAUUUCUCUCCCUAACCAAAGCCAGCACAUUCCCAAAUAACUUAUUUACUCAAUUGCCACUUUAUUAUUCUUUUGUAUUCUGAUCAAUUGGAAUUAAUAAUUUUUUUCUUUUGGACUCCCACAGUCCUUAGCAUAUAUUUCUAUGAAGCCUCUGAUUGCUUCACGUUGGGAGAAGGAUCCUGUCCUUCUCAUAGCUCUUGUUUUCACAGCCCAAGUUCUGGAAAAGUGCCUUCUUUGACAUUGCAGAUGUUCAGUAAAUGUUCAUUGUCUAAAUAAAUAAAUGGUUU